rnacentral:tRNA from 1 species
UUAAAAUUUAAUUUAUAAAAAUAAAAUACUUUUAUUACAAAAAAGAAAACUUAAAAAAAGAAUUUUGAU